AUGAGGAUGCAGAGCCAGGCUCUCAAGGCCCGGGAAACAGUGAUACCUGACCCCAAGGGGCCAGAGAGGUGAGGACUGGGCUGCGACUGAGCUGCUGUUAUCCGUGAUCAGGGGGAUCACUAAGAUGUAGCAGGACCUCCAGCUUGUGGUGAAGGUGAAGUCUGAGUUACUCUUAUCAGUCUGACCCCACUUGUACCCAGAGCUGAGAAAUGUGAAUUUCGGUCGUUAGAACGUUCUGGGCCCAUGCUACAGACGCGGGGGUUGCCCUUUAGAGAAGUGGAAAUAAACGCCAGGAUGAAACCUCCUUGGGCCAGCAGACAGUAGCAGUUACCCUGAGGAGGAGCCACAGACAGCCCUACAGGAUGAGUGGUGUCAUUUCUGUGUGGGAAAAUGAUGGCGGGGUCUUCUAGAACAUACAAAACAGAGUUGUGGCGGGGGGAGUCACAGGAGGUUAGAACACACUGGAACACACUGACACAAGCUGAACAUGGUCGGGGGAAAAAAAGGGGUCCUUUCUCAACACAUGCAUUCCCCACAGAACUGCUUGAGUGGCCUCAGCAUGGCAGCAGGCCUCCCCAGAGAAAGCCAAGACGAUGGCGGUGUGGUACAUCGGGGCUUUGCACUGUACGCCGGGCCAUGGGGUGUGUCUAAAUGGAGGUUGCUUUUGGCAGAGGCUCGCUCGCUAUGCUGACUGGAGCUGAGCAAGGCAAACAGAGGGCUCGGUGAGGAGCGAUUUUUCUAUGAUUGUUCCUCCGCCCAGAUCUGUUUGCCACAGCUUCUCUCUUGCCCUGUGCCCUCCCCACGUCACCCUGGACCUCUAACCUCCGGACACGUUUACCCAAAGGGAGACUUAGCAAGAGCUUGAAGGAAGGGAAGGGAAGCUAGGUACUUUCUUGUACCGUCCAGCCUCUGCCCGAAAGCGCGGGAGAAAACCUGCCUUCCAUGCUGGCCCUCAUCAAACUCUGCGGCCAUCCCCUCGUGCUCGGAGGGCGUGGUAACAAUGGCCCUCUGCUGUGGCUUAGGGUCACCCUGAUACCCCACAUAACGUUGGCUGGGUUAACCCGCACACAUUCUCCAGUCAAGCUGCUUGAGUGAGUCCUCACUACCAAGGGGCCCCGACUGAUACCGGAAGACACUGUUGACACAAAUGAACGCUGUGGGGACUGACAGAAAACCGAGGCCGGAGCGGAGACAAAUUGAGACUCUGAGUUCUCUGGCAGGUAAGAGCAAGGGACUAAUGAGACACAGGAGAGUCCAUUUGCUGCCUGCUGCUCUGUAACAAGUCACCACAGCUAUGGGCCUUCAAACAACACAUCCUGUUAUCUUGAGUUUUUCUGUGCCGGGAGGAAGCCAGACACGGCUGAAUGGGGUGCUGGGCUUUAGGAUCAUCCAGGAGGCUGCUGUCGGGCUGUUCCCAGGAGCCGAGGUCCCUGAUGAAGGUUCAAGGGUGGGAUACUCACUUUCAAGGUCGUAUUAUGGUUGGUGGAAGAAGUCAGUGGGACUAGGGCUUCGAUUCCUUGUGGCCUCCUCAUUGGAUCCUGCCCUCUGUUCCUGGUAAGCAUGGCAGAACGCUCGGUCCAAAUCUGUAAAAGAGUUCUCUCAAGACAACCCGAUGUGGCGGCGGCACACACCAAUGAUCCCAGCAAUUGGUAGGCUGAUGCGCGGAGUGAUAGAGAGUUCGAGACCAGCCUGGGCUACAUAGUGAAGUAUAUAAAAGAUGAAGGAGAAGAAAACACAUUUGUCUUUCCAGGACCUGGAACUGGAACUGCAUGUUUUACAGGAGAGCUGUGGAUUCAGAGAUGGCGUGGCUAACCAGCUGAGCAGCGUGGGGUUGUGGGACGAUGUGAGCCACACGGAGACAGGGGAUCUGGAAACUUGUUCACAGCCCGCUGGCUGACUGGCUUCUCUGAUCCAUCUGCAAACCUCAGUCAUGCGGACAUCUCCCUUCCAGGACUGUCGUGAGGACCACAGAACAGUGUGGAUGGCACCACUGGAGACAAUGGAUAAGGAGGUCAGCCAGCUGGAUUAAACUUUGGUAAGGACUUUCCUCCAAGCAUGGCCACAUGACCAAGAAGAGGCGUGAAGGCAACAUCUGUAACUUCCCUAGGAGGAAACAACUAGUGUUGGCCAUUCUCCCCUUCCCUGGGCUAGCAGAGUAGGACUAAAGUCCAGGAGGUGAUGGGAAAAAGCAGAGCAGAUAGGAGUGCAGCCCUGCCAUUUGUCAGCUGUACGUAUUCUGCUAGUUUGUAACCCCCCCCAUAUAUAUAUAUAUAUAUCAGAUGGGGUGGCCACAUGUGUCCCCUCCUACUCUAUGGGUGGUGUGGGGGAGAAUCAGAUAUGCUGUGAUGAGUCGAGAGAAGGAACCAGCUCUUGCCGGAGAUACCUGUGAUCCUGUUUCUAGGUAGCUCCUUCACUGCACCAACUUGAACUCUAUACACGUUAACCAGUUUGAGUAUGGGGCAGUGACCCCGAUGAUACGAUGCAUGGCAGUUACGCACAAAAUCCUGGGUUUGAUUCUCCAGCACAGCAGAAACUGGGCACAGUGCUGCAUGCCUGUGCUCCCAGGAUUCAGGAGGUAGAGCAGGGAGAUUGGUGGUUUAAAGACAUUCUCGGCUACAUAGUGAGUUGGAGGCUAACCUGGGAUACAGGAGCCCAUGACUCAAAAAGAAAAAGGUUAAUUUUAUUGGAUGAUGCAUGCACACUUCUUACGAUUGCUCUGAACAUCUCAGACUUUGCCCAGCGUGGGUCAACACAAGCAUUGUGCAAGCAUUAACUUAUCCAUGAAUAUUUAUCUUCUUGGAGCCAAGACGAAAGCUACAAACAAGACAACAAUCUCCACCCACCCUUCCCACCACGCACGCCCAGUCUUUCUUUGCAUGGAUGCAACAAGCCCAGGGAAGUAAGGCAGCAGCCGCUCCAGGGAGUCACAGAAGGGACAAGAUUUUGCACCGGAAGUCACAGAGUCGAAAUUAUCCAGAUUGUCUGCAGACCCCCUCCCAAGGUGCCCUGCCCUUUGCUCUGCUCUCCAGUUCAUUUUAGCUCCGGAACGUUCACAUAAACGCUGACUCUCCUUUCCUGAUUGCCCCUUUAAUCAGAUCCACUCUUUCCCCACCUCCUUGAUCUCUCCUCUCAAAUACAGUCGCUAAUGAUCUGUGCAUGUGCCAGACUUGAACAAAUGUUGAGCUGCGAACUACUGCGCCUGUUAAUUCUAUCCUCGGCUCACACGGGCGGGAUCCUCGAGUGCUGGCAGAUGCUGCCUCCCCGGGGCUUCCGCCCCCAGUCACCCGCUUUCUUGAUGAGGAAGGAGGGGGACAUUUCUCCCGUGACUACCAUUUGAAUAAAAUUUAUUGUGCUCAGAGAAAGAUGCGCACGUACAGAAAGGUAUUGAUGGACAGUAGCAUAAAUGAACGGUGAUGAAUGACUUGUGUGAGUCUUCAGUGAAUGACAGCAAUGUGGUUGGAGUUGAGGCCCUCCACAGCCAGACCAGCUCCUUCUACACAGCCAGAGUAUCUAUCGAGGCUCCGUGCACAGUCCAGAUGAAUCAUCACAAGAAAAUAAACAACUGAACAAACCACAGCAUGGAAGAGCCGGGGUACCGCAAACAGAUCCUUGGUUCUGAAUCCGGGUUCCACACUUGAGCAAGUGACUCCGUGGCCCGUGUAAAGUUGGAAGUCUAGUGACGCGUUAUUUGUUGGUGAGCUGCGGGUAUUCAAUGAGUUAGUAUAAAAAAAAUUAUGCACAUGGUGCUUGGUAAGCAUUGCACUGAUGUUUGCUGGGUUUGUGGUGAUAAUGGUGAAUGUUACUCUGCCAGGUUCCCAGCUGAGUCUGUCCCUGACUUCCCUUUGCCCCACCAUUGCCCUUGUGUUUGUAUGUAAUUUAUUUUAUAGAUAUGUUUGUAUAAUUUGCAUAUUUAUAGGUGUGUUUAUAUCAUGUUA